rnacentral:rRNA from 1 species
CACGUAGGGGGCAAGCGUUGUCCGGAUUUAUUGGGCGUAAAGAGCUCGUAGGCGGCUCAGUAAGUCGGGUGUGAAACCUCCAGGCUCAACCUGGAGACGCCACCUGAUACUGCUGUGGCUAGAGUCCGGUAGGGGAGCGUGGAAUUCCUGGUGUAGCGGUGAAAUGCGCAGAUAUCAGGAAGAACACCCGUGGCGAAGGCGGUUCUCUGGGACGGUACUGACGCUGAGACGCGAAAGCGUGGGGAGCGAACAGG